rnacentral:lncRNA from 1 species
GAGGAAGUGAUUUGCGCUUACUGUUUGAUCAAAAUCUGCAUUACUGGUGUUCAUCAUAUUGAUCAAGACUUUUGUCAAUCUAUUGAAGAUUGGACUGCCCUGUUGGGAUUAUAUGAAGAGAACUUGUGGAAGUUCUGGACACUUUGAGGAUUGUUCAAAGUGGGUUGAAGAUUGCAGAAAAGGGGAUAUCUUGCUGCAAAUCUUUGUGUUGCUGCCUAUACUUUUAGUUAGAGGGUUAGAGAGAUUGUCUAUACUUUUGAUGUGGAGGUCUCUAUAGAAAUCUUGAGUAAAAACCUUGACUAAUAUAGUGCAUUGGCUUCCUGGUUGUGGAAGGACAUUGGAUGUAGGCAUUGGGUUGAACCAGUAUAAAAACUGUGUUUGAUUUUCUCUAUCCCUGAACUCUUUACUUUAAGUCAACUUUACUUUCUGCAAGGUCAACUUUACUUUUCCACUGCAUUGAUUUAUCUUUUUCCUUGGGUUUCAAGAAAACUUUGAAAGGUUAAUACUUUGCGAAAAAGAUUUGAAAACGACUCUGAUUUUUGAACCUCACCAAUUUACCCCCCCUCUUGGUGUUGAAACUAAGCCAUUCUUUUUUCAACAACACUCCUUAGGGUAAGGAAGAAUCUUUUCAAUUUUCUCAAUUUUUUUCUCUCCCCUCUUCUUUUUUUUUCUCUUUCCUCUCAACCUCACUUAUUCUUUCUUCUCUCUUCUCUAACUCAACUUUUUCUCCGCUCUCCUCCACCCUCUCAUUACCUAUACUUACAAUAGCUUUACACUCCUCUUUAGGGUUAGCCUCAGUAUUAGCCCAUAACUGAUUUUCAGCUUUAUCUUCCAUGUUCUUGGCCAGCUGACCGACCUG